rnacentral:rRNA from 1 species
UACGAAGGAUGCAAGCGUUAUCCGGAUUUAUUGGGUUUAAAGGGUGCGUAGGCGGACUUAUAAGUCAGUGGUGAAAUCUCGUUGCUUAACAACGAACGUGCCAUUGAUACUGUAGGUCUUGAGUACAGAUGCCGUUGGCGGAAUGUGUCAUGUAGCGGUGAAAUGCAUAGAUAUGACACAGAACACCGAUUACGAAGGCAGCUGACGAAACUGUAACUGACGCUGAGGCACGAAAGCGUGGGGAUCAAACAGG